rnacentral:rRNA from 1 species
AUGCUUUACACAUGCAAGUCGAACGGCAGCACGAGAGAGCUUGCUCUCUUGGUGGCGAGUGGCGGACGGGUGAGUAAUAUAUCGGAACGUGCCCAGUAGCGGGGGAUAACUACUCGAAAGAGUGGCUAAUACCGCAUACGCCCUACGGGGGAAAGGGGGGGAUUCUUCGGAACCUCUCACUAUUGGAGCGGCCGAUAUCGGAUUAGCUAGUUGGUGGGGUAAAGGCUCACCAAGGCAACGAUCCGUAGCUGGUUUGAGAGGACGACCAGCCACACUGGGACUGAGACACGGCCCAGACUCCUACGGGAGGCAGCAGUGGGGAAUUUUGGACAAUGGGGGAAACCCUGAUCCAGCCAUCCCGCGUGUAUGAUGAAGGCCUUCGGGUUGUAAAGUACUUUUGGCAGAGAAGAAAAGGUAUCCCCUAAUACGGGAUACUGCUGACGGUAUCUGCAGAAUAAGCACCGGCUAACUACGUGCCAGCAGCCGCGGUAAUACGUA